rnacentral:rRNA from 1 species
AUGUACACAGCCAAUGGGAGGCGCUUUGAGGUAGCAUUGGUGUACCUCAGCACGACGAUCUUCAGCGAGCUCCUGAGGAUGUCCCAGGAGGCGUUUGGCUUCGCAAGCGAUGACAAGAUCACACUGCGUUGUGAUGCCGGAGUGAUGGAGUAUGUCAUGUGCUUGCUCAGGCGAAAUGCCUCUGUCGAAGUCGAGAACGCACUGCUGAUCUCCAUGGUGACAUCUUGUCACUACACUGGUUGCGCAAUUCCAACUGUUGGAGCCAGCAAGCAAAUUGGUUGUUUGUAG